ACAGCAGCUGCUAUGGCGCGCCACUUGAUCGUGCUUCUACUGGUAGCCGUCUGCUUGGUUCAGAGAAAAACAUCUACGACUUCAUUUCUGUCAUAAGCAUGUCAUUGCUCUUAAAAUUGAUGACAGUUUUCUCCACGAAUGUCCUGCCAUGUGGUCGAACAAUGCUUCCUUUCAAGAAACCAGAAAGAAGAUUUCAGCUCGAAAAGCAGUGAAUGAUACAGCUGAAAGAGCGGUCAAGACUUUCAUUGUGUAAUCUCGGUUGAGGAGGAACAAAAACAAUUUUUGUUACGUUGCCUACAAGAACACCUAAAGAUUUAUCCUGGCUGCAGAAAACAAACUUUGAAACGAAAAUUUAGAGACUAAUGUUUUUACAUGUUAAAUAGUGAAUAAACACGAUUUGGGCAA